rnacentral:rRNA from 1 species
GACGAACGCUGGCGGCGUGCUUCACACAUGCAAGUCGAGCGAGCGGCGGACGGGUGAGUAAUGUCUGGGAAACUGCCUGAUGGAGGGGGAUAUCUUCUGGAAACGGUAGCUAAUACCGCAUACCAUCAGAUGGGCCCAUAGGGGUUUAGCUAGUAGGUGGGGGAAUGGCUCACCUAGGCGACGAUCCCUAGCUGGUCUGAGAGGAUGACCAGCCACACUGGAACUGAGACACGGUCCAGACUCCUACGGGAGGCAGCAGUGGGGAAUAUUGCACAAUGGGCGCAAGCCUGAUGCAGCCAUGCCGCGUGUGUGAAGAAGGCCUUCGGGUUGUAAAGCACUUUCAGCGAGGAGGCGUUACUCGCAGAAGAAGCACCGGCUAACUCCGUGCCAGCCGCCGCGGUAAUAC